rnacentral:lncRNA from 1 species
AUACCUACUGAUCAAGUUCUAAGGCAGUUGAAGUACAUAGAGAAGGUAUGGCAUUUUAUUUUUUUCAUAUCGCAUCUUUAUCUAUCUAGUCAGAACUCAGAAUUGUUGUUGGUUUAUAAAUGUCAGCAAUCACCCGAAUCUUCAAUAAGGCGACUUCUCUCUUUCCCUUCUUCCUGGUCUUUCAUUUUGUGAAAUGUGCUUUAUUUACUUCCAAGUCGUAAUCUAGCUCUCUAAGACGACCUGAGGACACACAUUGUUACCAAAUACAGAUAUUCCAACUUCAUAAGAGGUAAAGAAAAAGUGGAAAAAAAGGGUACCCCAUUUGCACAUUCGCAUUGGUCAAGGCAUCACCAUGAACCUCCCACUUCUUAAACUCAGUAGAGGCUAACAUAAAUGAACUUGCAUUCCGAUGGCCUCCACCACCGAAUUCCUGCAUGUGAUUCUAUGAUGUAUUAACUCUUAACUCUAGCUAUGCAUUUUCAUAACUGUAAGUAUAAUAGUUUUGGAAGAGCAUUUAGAUGUCCAGAGAGAGAGUUCAACAUUCAGGGAGGUAAUCGAAUAUAGAUUGGAUGCACAUAUAUAUAUUUUGGUAUUCUUUAUCAACUGAUCAUACAUACAUGUUCAUAUAAUUUUGAAAUGGUGCAACAAAUUUUUCAGUGUACUUCUGAUUUUGUUUUGAGUAGACUAUUGCUUGUGCAGUUUUCUAGGUGAGACUUGAAUGAUGCACUUAUCGCCUUUUCUAAAUUCAGCUGCUUUUGAAUCUUAUUCAUUAUUGGACCUGCUCAAUCAACUACAUAAAUUUUUUAUGUUGCCUAAUUCAAAAUAAAUUUCGUCUGCAUGCAAUUCCGUUUGGAUUGCAUUUUUCAGGUGGUUUUUUUAAUAUAUUCGGUUAAAUUGGUGCUGUGAAUCUUCUAUAGUAAAUUAUGGGUGGUCAUGGGAUUGUUGGAAACUCACGAGUUUGUGGCAUUGAUGAAUUUCAGAGGGGGGAAGGAAUGAUUACCAAAAGGUUAAUUUCAACAAGAGCAAAUUGAAUAUUGAUUUGAGUUUUGGCUCUUUUAAGUGUAGAAUUCUCCUUACUCAUUAAAGAGACUAACAUGCUCUCUACAAAAUAAUUGGUAUCUUUGAGGCAUAAAUAUCACUUCUGAAUCUUGAUGCCUUCUCUUACUGAAAGUUCAUUCGACAUUUAAGGCAAAUCAUUUUUUUCUAGUUUUGUUUGAAGACAGCAUAAGCAGAGAAUUGGAAUGUCCAGCCAUAGUCAUAGAACUUAAAAUACAAGAAUUCUGUUUACCUUUGAUGGACGUUUCCCUUUAUUUACUCUUCAAUGAUAUGAAAUCAAUGUCCAGCCCAACACGUUUUUAAGUUUAGAGAUCGAUUGCCUUUCAUGACUAGGUGCAUAUUUGCCUUUCAUUUUUAGUUCUAUAAUGCAGUAGCUAUUAAAUAUGUUCUUAAGAACAUGACAUUGUGAUGUUUUUCUGGUGCAUAUCUGCCUCAGAUAUGGCAUCUGAAGCAACAUCUCAGUCAAAAGGGAAAGGCAAAGGGUAUUUCACUUGGACUCCUGAAAUGGAUCGUGUAAUGGGCACCUGUUUUAUUGACCAAAUGAACCAAGGAAACAAAUUGGAUGGUAAAUGUGCAUGGAAGACAGCAGCCUACACCGCAGUAAUGAAUGCUUUAUUCGAUAAGCUCAAUAUAUCUGUGACAAAGGCUAAUAUUAUAUCUCGUUUCAAGACAUGGGAGAAACACUAUGACAUCCUAUACCCACUGCUCCGGUCAUGUAACUCUGGGUCUGCGAUAAUAUGGGACUACUCUAGAGGUAGAAUUGAUGUUCGUGAUGAGGAUGUAUGGAAUGCUCGAGUAAGUGAGAAUCCAAAAAUUCUUCCUUAUAGAAAAGAAAUUGUGGUUGAAAAUUGGGAGGAUAUAUGUACACUGUUUUCACAAGAUUGUGCAAAUGGAGAGGGUGCCCAAACUGUUUUUGAGGCUAAUGCUGAAACUGAAGUUGAAGAGUCUGCUAAUGUAGAGGAAUCAUUUGAGACUGAUUCACGAUCUUUAGAAGAUGAAGUUAUGAAUGCACUGCUAGCUUGACAACGGUCAAAAUCAAAAGCUUCAUCUUCAACAAAUGAUCGUGGCACAAAGAGAAAACUAACGAGCUCUCAAGUACUUUACAAGGUGUUGGGACGAAUGGCAGAUUCACUGGAUAAGUACUUAAAUUCAGAAUGUUCAAAAGUUACAACUAAAAUGGUGGAAGACGAGUUAUCUAAAAUUGAAUUGGAUAGAUUUCAAUUGUUGAAGGGUAUUGAUUUACUUAUGAAUGACAGGACAAAGUAUGACACUUUUUCUGGUCUUCAAGAUGACUUAAAAAAGGAUUGGCUAUUGAUGCACAUUGGUAAUUGAUUUUUUUUUUGGUAAUCUCCAGUUGAAGUUGUUUUUGUAGAAGAAGUUGAGCUAUUUUCUAUUUGUUUUUGGGAUGAUAAGAAUGGAACAUUGGAUCUUUUGUCUGAUGAACUAGCAUUUUUUAUAUUGAGAUUAACAUAGCUGCCUGGGUUGAUGCCCUGACUUGUCCUUGAGCUGCAUGAAGCUUUGCAUUCUUUCUCAAAGUUAAGGAGCUUUUGUAUAAGUGCUCUUCCUGUAUUCUGUUGGUUUUUA